ACUCCUACGGGAGGCAGCAGUGGGGAAUUUUGCGCAAUGGGGGAAACCCUGGCGCAGCAACGCCGCGUGAGUGAUGAAGGCCUUCGGGUCGUAAAGCUCUGUCAAGAGGGAAGAACUGUGGGCGGCUAAUAUCCGUACCACUUGACGGUACCUCUGGAGGAAGCACCGGCUAACUCCGUGCCAGCAGCCGCGGUAAUACGGAGGGUGCGAGCGUUGUUCGGAAUUAUUGGGCGUAAAGCGCGUGUAGGCGGUCUUGUAAGUCUGAUGUGAAAGCCCUGGGCUCAACCUGGGAAGUGCAUUGGAAACUGUGAGACUUGAGUACGGGAGAGGGCAGUGGAAUUCCUAGUGUAGGAGUGAAAUCCGUAGAUAUUAGGAGGAACACCGGUGGCGAAGGCGGCUGCCUGGACCGAUACUGACGCUGAGACGCGAAAGCGUGGGGAGCAAACAGGACUAGAUACCCUGGUAGUCCACGCCGUAAACGAUGAGAACUAGGUGUCGCGGGUA
rnacentral:rRNA from 1 species